rnacentral:lncRNA from 1 species
UUAAAAAAGAGUUGGAGUACUUCUGAAUUUGGAAUUAGGACUUGAAAAAUGCCCUAAUUUGCACGCUGAGAAAGGACUUUCUCAGGUAUUUGAUUUUCUGCAUUCUCAAAUUGUUUUCAUUUUUUUCAGAGCAUAUACUAGAAAAUUAGCUGAGCAAAGCUAGUUUUGGGAUAGAGACGUUUUAUUGUUGUUGUCUUUUCACCGCAUUUUAGCAUUCUGUAAUAAAAACACAAGCACCUAAUUGAUUAGAGUUUACAGCAGACUAAAUUUUUCCAGGAAUUAGCCACGUCCUAUUUUUCUAUUUUUACAGUUAAUAGUGUACACUGACACAAAAUUUGUUCUUUUAUUCAAUCAUGAAAUGAUUUGUUUGGCCAUCGAUUUCAAACCAACUAAAUAAGGUAUUUUAAAGUUGAAAAAACUUGUUUAAGGAGUAUUUCGAGUGAAGUAAUGGUUUCACUCACGA